rnacentral:rRNA from 1 species
AGCGAACGCUGGCGGCAGGCUUAACACAUGCAAGUCGAGCGGGCACUUUCGGGUGUCAGCGGCGGACGGGUGAGUAACGCGUGGGAACGUGCCCUCUGGUUCGGAAUAACUCAGGGGAACUUGAGCUAAUACCGGAUACGCCCUUUUGGGGAAAGGCUUGCUGCCGGAGGAUCGGCCCGCGUCUGAUUAGCUAGUUGGUGAGGUAACGGCUCACCAAGGCGACGAUCAGUAGCUGGUCUGAGAGGAUGAUCAGCCACACUGGGACUGAGACACGGCCCAGACUCCUACGGGAGGCAGCAGUGGGGAAUAUUGGACAAUGGGCGCAAGCCUGAUCCAGCCAUGCCGCGUGAGUGAUCAAGGCCUUAGGGUUGUAAAGCUCUUUUAUCCGGGACGAUAAUGACGGUACCGGAGGAAUAAGCCCCGGCUAACUUCGUG